rnacentral:rRNA from 1 species
GCAUAUCAAUAAGCGGAGGAAAAGAAACUAACAAGGAUUCCCCUAGUAACUGCGAGUGAAGCGGGAAAAGCUCAAAUUUAAAAUCUGGCGGUCCUUGUGGCCGUCCGAGUUGUAAUUUAGAGAAGUGUUAUCCGCGCUGGACCGUGUACAAGUCUCCUGGAAUGGAGCGUCAUAGAGGGUGAGAAUCCCGUCUUUGACACGGACUGCCAGGGCAUUGUGAUGCGCUCUCGAAGAGUCGAGUUGUUUGGGAAUGCAGCUCAAAAUGGGUGGUAAAUUCCAUCUAAAGCUAAAUAUUGGGGAGAGACCGAUAGCGAACAAGUACCGUGAGGGAAAGAUGAAAAGAACUUUGGAAAGAGAGUUAAACAGUACGUGAAAUUGCUGAAAGGGAAACGCUUGAAGUCAGUCGCGUCGCUCAGGACUCAGCCUUGCUUUUUGCUUGGUGUACUUCCUGUUCGAUGGGUCAGCAUCAAUUUUGGUCGGUGGAUAAAGGCUUAGAGAAUGUGGCAUCUUCGGGUGUGUUAUAGCUCUGGGUCGCAUACAUCGGCUGGGAUUGAGGAACUCAGCACGCCGCAAGGCCGGGGACUUGUCCCACGUACGUGCUUAGGAUGCUGGCAUAAUGGCUUUAAUCGACCCGUCUUGAAACACGGACCAAGGAGUCUAACAUGCCUGCGAGUGUUUGGGUGGAAAACCCGAGCGCGUAAUGAAAGUGAAAGUUGAGAUCCCUGUCGCGGGGAGCAUCGACGCCCGGAGCAGACCUUUUGUGACGCAUCCGCGGUAGAGCAUGUAUGUUGGGACCCGAAAGAUGGUGAACUAUGCCUGAAUAGGGUGAAGCCAGAGGAAAACUCUGGUGGAGGCUCGUAGCGAUUCUGACGUGCAAAUCGAUCGUCGAAUUUGGGUAUAGGGGGCGAAAGACUAAUCGAACCAUCUAGUAGCUGGUUCCUGCCGAA